rnacentral:rRNA from 1 species
GAUGAACGCUGGCGGCGUGCCUAAUACAUGCAAGUCGAGCGAACGGACGAGAAGCUUGCUUCUCUGAUGUUAGCGGCGGACGGGUGAGUAACACGUGGAUAACCUACCUAUAAGACUGGGAUAACUUCGGGAAACCGGAGCUAAUACCGGAUAAUAUUUUGAACCGCAUGGUUCAAAAGUGAAAGACGGCCUUGCUGUCACUUAUAGAUGGAUCCGCGCUGCAUUAGCUAGUUGGUAAGGUAACGGCUUACCAAGGCAACGAUGCAUAGCCGACCUGAGAGGGUGAUCGGCCACACUGGAACUGAGACACGGUCCAGACUCCUACGGGAGGCAGCAGUGGGGAAUCUGCCGCAAUGGGCGAAAGCCUGACGGAGCAACGCCGCGUGAGUGAUGAAGGUCUUCGGAUCGUAAAACUCUGUUAUUAGGGAAGAACAUAUGUGUAAGUAACUGUGCACAUCUUGACGGUACCUAAUCAGAAAGCCACGGCUAACUACGUG